GACGAACGCUGGCGGCGUGCCUAAUACAUGCAAGUCGAACGCUUCUUUCCUCCCGAGUGCUUGCACUCAAUUGGAAAGAGGAGUGGCGGACGGGUGAGUAACACGUGGGUAACCUACCCAUCAGAGGGGGAUAACACUUGGAAACAGGUGCUAAUACCGCAUAACAGUUUAUGCCGCAUGGCAUAAGAGUGAAAGGCGCUUUCGGGUGUCGCUGAUGGAUGGACCCGCGGUGCAUUAGCUAGUUGGUGAGGUAACGGCUCACCAAGGCCACGAUGCAUAGCCGACCUGAGAGGGUGAUCGGCCACACUGGGACUGAGACACGGCCCAGACUCCUACGGGAGGCAGCAGUAGGGAAUCUUCGGCAAUGGACGAAAGUCUGACCGAGCAACGCCGCGUGAGUGAAGAAGGUUUUCGGAUCGUAAAACUCUGAUGUUAGAGAAGAACAAGGACGUUAGUAACUGAACGUCCCCUGACGGUAUCUAAACAGAAAGCCACGGCUAACUACGUG
rnacentral:rRNA from 1 species